rnacentral:rRNA from 1 species
UACGAAGGGAGCUAGCGUUGUUCGGAAUCACUGGGCGUAAAGCGCACGUAGGCGGAUUUGUCAGUCAGGGGUGAAGUCCCGGGGCUCAACCUCGGAACUGCCUUUGAUACAGCAAGUCUUGAGUUCGAGAGAGGUGGGUGGAAUUCCUAGUGUAGAGGUGAAAUUCGUAGAUAUUCGGAGGAACACCAGUGGCGAAGGCGGCUCACUGGCUCGAUACUGACGCUGAGGUGCGAAAGCGUGGGGAGCAAACAGG